rnacentral:lncRNA from 1 species
ACAACACUGAAUGUAUAUCUACACACAUAUCAGUCUUUCCAAGAGAAAACCGGAAUCCUACCACAGGAUGACUACCAAAGAUUCCUACCACUGGAUGACUGAGAAAAUAUCCACAUAAAAAUGAGUAGGAGACACAGAGAUACAUUGUGUACUAAGCUUACCCUGAGCACAGAACCUUACACUGGGAAGGAAAUCCCAACUUCCAAAUUCUUCGUGAGAGUGCACCAGCUGACACCACCCAGAUCCAUAAACUGGCUCAUCUGGUCUUGUGGUCCUCAUUCGGGAACUGACAGUGCAAGAGGAGAGCUUCAACUCCCUAUGAUUUCAUCUCUUCCCCAACCAGUCAGCAGCAAGUACCCAUUGCAUGGCCAUCCCUUCUCCCAAACUGCCUUUGAAAAACUCCUAACCUACCAGUCUGAGGGAAGAUUGAUUUGA